rnacentral:rRNA from 1 species
CUGAAAGCAUCUAAGCGGGAAGCGAGCCCUAAGAUGAGUCAUCCCUAGGAAUUUAAUUCCUCUAAAGAGCCGUUCGAGACUAGGACGUUGAUAGGCAUGGUGUGUAAGCGUUGUGAGGCGUUGAGCUAACAUGUACUAAUGACUCGAGAGGCUUAACCAU